AUCGAACGCUGGCGGCAUGCUUUACACAUGCAAGUCGAACGGCAGCGCGGGCUUCGGCCUGGCGGCGAGUGGCGAACGGGUGAGUAAUACAUCUGAACGUGCUCAGCAGUGGGGGAUAGCUCGUCGAAAGCCGGAUUAAUACCGCAUACGACCUGAGGGUGAUAGCGGGGGAGCUUCGGACCUCUUGCUCUUGGAGCGGCCGAUGGCAGGUUAGCUAGUUGGUGGGGUAAAGGCCUACCAAGCCGACGAUCUGUAGCUGGCCUGAGAGGACGACCAGCCACACUGGGACUGAGACACGGCCCAGACGCCUGCGGGAGGCAGCAGUGGGGAAUUUUGGACAAUGGGCGAAAGCCUGAUCCAGCAAUGCCGCGUGUGUGAUGAAGGCGUUCGGGUUGUAAAGCACUUUUGGCGGGAACGAAAAGGACUGUGCUAAUACCACGGUUCGAUGACGGUACCCGCAGAAUAAGCACCGGCUAACUACGUG
rnacentral:rRNA from 1 species